rnacentral:lncRNA from 1 species
CGGGUUUGAAGUGGCUUAAAGGUAUCCAAUUUGUGAAAGCCUGGAAUAUGCUCUGUUCCAUUACCUCCACAUGCCAAAAACAGAGCUAACUACAUACUUAUACGACUUUAAAUCCCUUUUCUUCACGUCUCUACCUGCAAUAAUACACAUCAUCAUAUUACACUCAUCUUUCUCAACCUCAAUCAUAUUCACAGAAAACAAACUUGGUCACCGUGUCGAAAACAGGGUUUAAUCGAGUUAGUUAUUUAGAGGUUUUGGUCCCGAACAAAGACGUUGAAGUUCAGUGAGAGAUUGAGAAGGCAGACUCGAGAAAACAUGAGGCUAUAGAAACAAGUCUAAUGGGAACAAAUGAAGAAAAAGGCCUUGUGCCACUCAUUAUUCUCUAUCUCCACAAAAGAAAAGAAGAGACAAACUUGAAAAAGGAAAUGGGUGAUUCUUAUUCUUUUAGAGAAUCUGAUAAUGCAAAAAAACUUACUAAAAAAGAAGAUUCUCUUUGAGAUUAGGACAGAAUAUUUGUCUUUCCAGAGUUUAACGGUUAUAACAUGACGUUGUAAUAUGCCAUCUGAGAGAUGAUAAUACAAAUAACAAGAACCACACCAAAGUUAAGCAAAUAUUUGAAAUUAAAUAUCAAGAAAUAAAAGAGUAAAGAGAAAAAGGAGGGACCUUUUGUAUGAGAUUAUAAAAUGCAAAGCUAAGUUGAUAUACAAAACUAGGCCUCUCUUCCACCCUAUAGCUGAAGGAGAUUCGGUAUGUAAAAUGCCGAAAAAUCGAAUUUGUUCCUUUUAUCUAUUGCUGUGUGUAUAGAUGUUUAUGUAAAUUUUGUCAAAGGAGUUUUCAGUGCAACAAUCAGAGAGAUGGCAAGAAAUGAUUGGAUAAACAGUUACCUGGAAGCUAUUCUUGAUGUUGGAACUAGCAAGAAAAAGAGGUUUGAGAGCAACUCCAAGAUCGUCCAGAAGCUUGGAGAUAUCAACAGUAAGGAUCAUCAGGAGAAGGUGUUUGGAGAUAUGAAUGGGAAGGAUCAUCAAGAGAAGGUGUUUAGUCCCAUCAAAUACUUUGUGGAAGAGGUCGUCAACAGUUUCGAUGAGUCUGACCUGUAUAAAACAUGGAUUAAGGUUCGUUUCUAAAUCUGUAUCCUUAUACCAAAUGGUAUAAAUACAAAAUGAUAGAGAGAAAUGCUUUUACACAUAAAUAUAAAUACCUGCAAGUGAUGGUGGAGAGAUCUUUCACUUCUUGUG